CAGUUCGGAUUGAAGGCUGAAAUUCGCCUUCAUGAAGCCGGAAUUGCUAGUAAUGGCAGGUCAGCAUACUGCCGUGAAUACGUUCCCGGGCCUUGUACACACCGCCCGUCACACCAUGAGAGUUGGGAAUACCCGAAGCCUGUGAGCUAACGUAAGGGGCAGCAGUCGAAGGUAGAAUCAAUGAUUGGGGUGAAGUCGUAACAAGGUACC
rnacentral:rRNA from 1 species